AUGCGCAAAUUGCCACCGCGAGAUACAUGCAGGUGUUACGCAGCUUCCUAAGGUAACUUAGGUUGAAAAACGAGGUGAACUCGGUGAAGCCCUUAAUGGGUAAUACCGAGCCAAGCUCCAAAAUAUUUUUGGAGAAGGUGUAGAGACUAUCCCGAAAGGGAGUAGCCCAGCAAUCGCUGGGCGAAGCGCCUCGCUCCGCAAUAUGCGGAUGAUGAUAUAGUCCACCCCUAAAGGAAACUUUGGG
rnacentral:ncRNA from 1 species